AUUGAACGCUGGCGGCAGGCCUAACACAUGCAAGUCGAGCGGAUGAAGGGAGCUUGCUCCUGGAUUCAGCGGCGGACGGGUGAGUAAUGCCUAGGAAUCUGCCUGGUAGUGGGGGAUAACGUCCGGAAACGGGCGCUAAUACCGCAUACGUCCUGAGGGAGAAAGUGGGGGAUCUUCGGACAUCACGCUAUCAGAUGAGCCUAGGUCGGAUUAGCUAGUUGGUGGGGUAAAGGCCUACCAAGGCGACGAUCCGUAACUGGUCUGAGAGGAUGAUCAGUCACACUGGAACUGAGACACGGUCCAGACUCCUACGGGAGGCAGCAGUGGGGAAUAUGGGGCAAUGGGCGAAAGCCUGAUCCAGCCAUGCCGCGUGUGUGAAGAAGGUCUUCGGAUUGUAAAGCACUUUAAGUUGGGAGGAAGGGCAGUAAGUUAAUACCUUGCUGUUUUGACGUUACCAACAGAAUAAGCACCGGCUAACUUCGUG
rnacentral:rRNA from 1 species